rnacentral:rRNA from 1 species
AACCUCCGCAAUGUGAGAAAUCGCGACGGGGGGAUCCCAAGUGCCAUUCUUAACGGGAUGGCUUUUCAUUAGUGUAAAGAGCUUUUGGAAUAAGAGCUGGGCAAGACCGGUGCCAGCCGCCGCGGUAACACCGGCAGCUCUAGUGGUAACAAUUUUUAUUGGGCCUAAAGCGUCCGUAGCCGGUUUAAUAAGUCUCUGGUGAAAUCCUGUAGCUUAACUGUGGGAAUUGCUGGAGAUACUAUUAGACUUGAGACCGGGAGAGGUUAGAGGUACUCCCAGGGUAGAGGUGAAAUUCUGUAAUCCUGGGAGGACCGCCUGUUGCGAAGGCGUCUAACUGGAACGGUUCUGACGGUGAGGGACGAAAGUUAGGGGCGCGAACCGGAUUAGAUACCCGGGUAGUCCUAACUGUAAACGAUGCGGACUUGGUGUUGGGGUGGUUUUGAGCUGCUCCAGUGCCGAAGGGAAGCUGUUAAGUCCGCCGCCUGGGAAGUACGGUCGCAAGACUGAAACUUAAAGGAAUU